rnacentral:lncRNA from 1 species
UUUUUAUUUAGGUGUGAUCGAAUCACCUCAUAAUUUAAUCAUUUUAAUAAAAGUUUAAAUUUACUAAAAUGAUAAUUUUUGGUCUACAAAAUCCAGAAAACGGGUUUAGGAGUCGGUUACGCACGAGGAAGGAUUAGCACCCUCGAUACGCCCAAAAUUAGUACCUAGUUGAUUACUUAAUGUCUUGGUGUUGAAGAUUAAAAACUUGAAAAGAAUUUAAAAUACGAUCCCUCUUUAUAUUGUGUUAUUUUAAAAUUACUCGAAUAAAUCAAAAUAUGUAAAAUGCCUUCUUAUCUCGAAGUAACAAGAUGUCACAUCCCGUAAGUUAGGACAUGACACCUCGAAUUUUUAAGAAUAAGCUUGCCUUUUAUUUUUUAUUUGAACCUCAUUUAGUUUAAUUUUAAAAGGAUAUUCGGUUAUUUAGGUUCAACGCGAGAAAAAUCAAAACCCAGUAAGUUAGGGCACGACUUCUCGAAUUUCCAAAUACGGAAUAUUGCCUUUAUUUUCAAAAUUUUCUUUUUUACGAAUUUGGAUAAAAAUUAAUGUAAUAUUAAGAUUGAUAUAUGAAUAAAAUGUUACGCUAAUGAAUGACAACAAUAUAAAUGUACUAAUAAGCUAUUCGUAAUACAUAUCACUUUAAUACCAAUAUUAACAAUCAAAGAAAAAAUAAAAAAAAAUAAUGACGAUGAUAACAAAAAUAGUUCUAAUGACAAAAUAUGAGCAUGAAAUGACAAUACCAAUUUUUAAAUAUAAUGAAGACAAAGAAAUAAAUAAAUAAAUAAAUAAAUAAAUAAAUAUAAAGGAAAAUAUUAUAUAUAAUAUUGAAAAUAAAUGACUUAAUUAAAAUAUAAAUGAAAUUAUAGGUGCAAUUUGUAAUAAGAUACAAAAAUAAAUAGUAAUAAUAAUAAAUAUAAUAAUAAAUAUGGUACAAGAAAAAUAGAAAAUAAAAAAAAUGUUUAAAUAUAAAUAAAUAAAUACAAAAAAAAGUAAAAGAUUGAAAGUAAGGGACUAAAUCAAAAUCUAAGCCAAAUUUAAAGUAAAAAUCAUAAUAAAAUAAAUGGAUUAAGUAAUAAAAUAAAGUAAAGGGCUAAAAUCAAAUGUGUAGAAACAAGCGGGAACAAAUGACUAAAUUGAAGCAUGAAAAAAAUCAGUGGCCCAAAUUUCAAAAAAAAUCCAAAAAGGUAACAAAGGACUAAAUUGAAGCGCAUCGCAAAAGUGGAAGGGCCGAUUGUGUAAUUAACCCAUGCGCUAGAAAACACGCGGAUCCUGGGGGUCUUGGGUCGGAUCUCGGGUUAAGAGCCAAAACGGUGCCGUUUUGGGGCUAUUGAAGCCAACCUUAAACGGUGUCGUUUAGAGAGUCUAUAAAGACUAAUUUUUUUUAAAAAAAAAUCAUUUACACCCUUUUCUUUUAAAAAAACUUUGAGAGCUCACUCAUGCUCUCUCUCAACUCUCCCUCUGCCACCCCGUCGCCGGACCACCGUGACAGUCGCCAAAUGUCGGCGACGGCGCCGCCGUACACGGUGGCCGACAACAUAAAAAAAGAGCCUUUUGAUCAUUUUACUGCCCUCUACCCCGAUCUAUGGCCAAAAAUCUAGAAAAAAAAGAACCCUUUGGAUCUGCCCUCCUCUGUUGCGACUGUUUGGCUAACCCUGAGGGUUAGUUGGCCUUGCAAAACGAAGAGUGAAACGCUGGGUGAAAGGUAAAAGAUUUUGAUUUUAUUUUUACUUUAUAUCUUUUAAGAAUAAAAUGAAUGAAAAAGAUCACCUUUUUUUUGAGUUUAUAUCUGAUUUCAAGAUUUUGUAUUCGAUUAUCUAUCUAAAUUACAUUGAUAUGUUUAGCUUUUAUAGCCAUUUACAAUACUGUAUAUUAUUUCUAUUGUUUUGCUUUCGUUUCUGCCUACUCUGUCUUCUCUUUUUGUUUUGUUUUGCAGGGGCGAGGUCAACGGAGGCAGAGGCUCCAGCUUUUUACCAUUUUGGUGUAAAGGCAAUAGCUAGGGUGUUAGGCCUCGGGACCAGGAGCCUCGGGACGAGCAUGCUAACAUGGCUAAGGGCAGCGGCGCAAAUGGGAGUUGGAAACCCUAGGGUUUCUAAAUUAGAUUAGGUUGAGGGCCUAUUAAUUGGGCUUAGGGUUUUUAUUUUUGGUUUGUAAUAAUUUGGACUUGGACUAUUUUAUUAUUAUUAUUUUGUUUUAUUUAUUUGGUUUUGGGCCUGGGUAAAUUGGGCCUACUACAGCUGCCCUUCUUUGCUCGUUGUUGUAUAACGAGAAUAGAGCAAAGACUUUUUUAAGAAUGACCAAUUUCACCCGGUCUCGUCGAAUCUUGACUUCUUAAUACUUAUCCUCUUCAAAUAGCCUCAUUCCAACCCACUGCCCCUUUAGGGGUAUAGGAAUUAUCGCUUCAAUUUACUCUACUGCAACUUCAGAGAGAUGAGAUUUGUAAUUUCAACCUGCUCCACUACAACUUCAGGGAGAUAAGGCUGGUGGCUUCAAUAUGCUCCACUGCGACUUCAGGAAGAUAAGAUCCGCCAUAAUUUGUAGCUUUAAUCUGUUCAACUACAACGCUAGAGAAAUAAGAUCCACUGUCUUCAGUUUGCUCCGUUGCAACUUUAAGGAGAUAAGGCUAGUGGCUUCAAUCUGCUCCACUGCAACUUCAAAAGAUAAGAUCCACCAUAAUUUGUAGCUUUAAUCUGUUCUACUGCAACGCUAGAGAAAUAAGAUUUGUUGUAUUCAGUCUGCUCCGCUGCAACUUUAGGGAGAUAAGGCUAGUGGCUUCAAUAUGUUCCACUGCAACUUCAGGAAGAUAAGGUUCGCUAUAAUUUAUAGCUUUAAUCUGUUCCACUGCAACGCUAGAGAAAUAAGAUUCCCUGUCUUUAGUCUGCUCCGCUGUAACUUCAGGGGGAUAAGGUUGGUGGCUUCAAUCCAUUCCACUACAACUUCAGGAAGAUAAGAUCUGCCAUAAUUUGUAGCUUUAAUUUGUUCCACUGCAACGCUAGGGAAAUAAGAUUCGCUGUCUUCAGUCUGCUCCGUUGUAACUUCAGGGGGAUAAGGCUGGUGGCUUCAAUCUGCUUCACUGCAACUUUAGAAAAUAAGAUCCACCAUAAUUUGUAGCUUUAAUCUGUUACACUGCAACGCCAGGGAAAUAAGAUUCGCUAUCUUUAGUCUGCUCCGCUGCAACUUCAGGGAGAUAAGGUUGAUUGCUUCAAUUUGUUCCACUGCAACUUCAGGAAGAUAAGAUCCGCCAUAAUGACUUUAAUCCAUCCCACUGCAAUUUUAAGGGUAUAGGAUUUUUGGUUUCUCUGAUAUAUUACACCAUCCAUUGGGGAACAUGACCUAUAAAAUCCAUUUCAUUGGCCUAUUUAUGCCAAAUGAUUAGGAUGUUAUGAUUAAAAUGAAUCAACUGCUCCUAACUAGAUGUGUAUAAAUGAUAUUUGCAUGGAUGCAGAAUGUCACGAGAAUGAUCCCUUUUUAAGGUUUGGGUUGCCAUUACUCGUUGUUCAUCAAGGUUCUAUCACUAACAUAUUAUCCUGCCUUCUUAUUCAGCUGGUAUCUUUGCCAGAAAACUCGAAGAAUAAUCACAAUUUGGGAUAUUAUUUCUCCAAUGUUUCUAACCCUUAGGUCUAGUUAGUUCUAAAUAAUAGUCCUAUUUCAGGUCAUCGUACUAUUUAGAAGCUUUCGAAGUAAUAUGCAGAACUCCUUUUGCUUGAAUAUUAUCAGUCCAUUAAUUGUUAUUUCAAUGAAAAAUGCUUGAAAAAGAUUAUCACAAUGGAUAAGAUGAAAUUUUAUUAAGAGCAAAGCUCGAAAUGAAUAAAUUAAUCAAUAUAGUAAAUUUUGCUAAGAUACAAAAUGAAUAAGAUGAAAAUAGGUGCCUCAGAUAUCGUAGUAUGAGCUUCUCUGCACAAAACUUCUUGAGGACCCUUUGAACUUGAUAUGUGUUUAGAAGUCCUAGAAGACCUUGUUGAUGCCCAAAGAUGUAGCGUCCCUUCUUCUUAUUAAUUCAGAGAGGACAUGACUACUACAUGCCCACAUUUGAUCAAAAAUUUGAAUUGCCUAUUCUUGGGUUUUCAACUCAAAACCACUUUGGUCUCAAGGCGUCCUUUGCGGGUUUUCAUCUUGGCCUCUCCUUUUUCUUUUCUUUUUCUUCUUCUUUUUUUUAAGAAAAUUUUUUUGAUUGAAUCUAAACUCAUAGGAUUAGGCAAGCCCUUGUUAUCCCUCCUAGUCAAAAUCAACGCUUUUCCAAAUAAAGCAUUCCACAUAAGGUCUUUUCUAGUUUGGCAUCCACUUUCUUCUGAAGUCCUUUUGCAUCGGAAUGAUCUUCUUUGAUACCAGUUCCCCCUCAUGGAAUUCUCUAGGGCGAACCUUUUGGUGAGCUUGCAUCAUUUUUUUGGUACAUUUGACCAUGAUGGAUAACUUUAAACUUUUUCUUCAAUCGGGAUUGGAUCCAAAAAAACUCAGAAAGAAAGAAUCUCAACUUCAAUGGACAAAACUGCGAUAAGCCAAAGAGAAAGGCGUUGCCCCAGUAAAGUUUUUUUUUGCACCGUUCAUUUUGGGGUAAUAUGGUGUUAAUCUUGAACAGACUACAAACUUCUGAUAUCGCGCUGUUAUUAGUGCAUUGUUAGAUAUGAUCCUUUUUAGAAUUCCAUACCGACAUAUGAUUUCUUUUUUUUCAAAAAUUUACUAACUGCCGGCUUGGUGACAUUGGUAUAUAUAGCAGCUUCCACCCACUUAGUAAAGUAAUCGACAACCACAAAGAUGAAUCGAUGACCGCCAUAAGCUUUUGGCGAGAUCGGCCCAAUGACAUCCAUGCCCUACAUAAAGAAAGACCAUAGAUUCUAUUGAUUCUUUAUAAGGUAGGAUCUGUUUCUCAUCUUAUUCUACCAUCUUUAACAAAUCAGGAGAUAAGUUAUAGUCUCAAUCAUCUUCAAAGUCCUAUGAUUGCUCUGGACAUAUAUCUUGCUCAAAAGGAGGUUCUGAGUCAAUAGUAGUGUCGCUCAUAUCAUUGAUAUCUGGAGACCUGUUAUAGGGACGAAGGAAUAUCCAAAGAACAAAAGAAUCAAAGAAUAUUUAUCUGUAUAGUAUGAUUAUGAAUGAAAUAAAAGAAUAUUUCCUUAAAGUGAGAAACAAAGAUGCAUUUUUAUUGAAAUAAAGAUGUUGGACAUAAGUCAAUUUCACAAAAGGAUUCUUAUUGCUUCUAGGCUUAAAUCAACAAGCGUGUUUUGAACAUUACUCUGAAUCAGCUCUAAAAACUAUAUGAAUCUCUUCCGCAGUCGAAUUGUUCAGAACACUUCCAGGCUCAUAAAGGCAAAUGCCUGAUAAAUUUUCUCUUUCAAUUCUUUCUUCAGAUAUAGCAUUGAUGCUCUAAUUUCUGAACAUUCCUUCCGGGUCUUUAGUAUAUUUAAAGAAUUCUAAUUCCUUAUUAUCCAUCAGGCCUUGCACCAAGGCUCUGAAUUUAUUACGCUUUUGAAUCUCGUGACCCUCUUCAUUAUGGAACUCACAGUAGUUCCUUGCUUCUCCGGGUUUCUCCCCUAAAUCUUGUGUGAUUAAUCCUCAUUCUUCCAUUUUCUUCUAAACCUCCCUUAGCGGGGUUUUCACUUCUACUAUGUCUGUUUUGAUUCUCCUCCAUGCACUCUCGAAUAUCGAGUUUACUCCUUUGUCAGAAUAGUUGGGUAACAGAUUUUCUACACUAGAUGGAUCAUCGAAUUUUACAAUACCUAUUUUGAUUAGUCUUUCGAUUAUCUUUUUGAAAGCGAUGCAGUUCUCGAUCGAGUGUCCUAUGAUUCCUGUAUGGUACUCACAUUGGGCAUUCGUAUCGUACCAUUUGGGGCAUGGGGGCUACAUAGAUUUUAGGUAGAAAAGGGAUACUACACGUGUAUCAAACAAAUUUUAGUACAACUCCCCAUACGUGAUUGGGAUGGGCGUGAACCAGAGUUUUUCUUAGUUCGGUCUUGGAUUGGGUUCUUGCCAUGGGGGGAUCUGAUGGCUAGUAGUUGUCGUCCUUGGCUGGCUUACAGUAAUCGGCUUUGAAUAGCCAUUGUUAUACAUACUCGCAUUAUUCACCACAUUUUCCAUCUUCCUCGGGGCUCUUAAAGUAUUGAUUUGGGAGCUCCACUCUUGCUUUUUUCGUUUGUAACGAUUUUCAAAUUGUUUUGAGAGCUCCACUCUCGCUUGUUUUGUUUUCGCUAGGUCAUCCAAAUCAAGGAUAACAUGAUUGGUUAGAUUAUCCCCCAGGUUAGAACCUGAACCUGAACCUGUCAGAAAGUUCACCGGUGUCGAGGUAUCAAUCUGGUAUUGGGGUCUGAUGUUAACACACACUUUUUAUGGAUACACGUUUGGUUGUGCUUGGGUGUUUGUUGGAGUAAAACCUGGAGGAUAAGCAGGGUCCUCGUUAUCGUCCCCGGAAUUGACCAUAGGGCUCUUUUCUUUUUCUAACCCUCCAGCCAGCAACUAAGUUAACUGGCUCAUAACAUUUUUUUAGAAUUCUAGCAUCUAAUCCUCAUAUCUUGUUGAAUUUUAGCCAAUUGCUCUUGUAUAUGUAUUUGCAUUCGCUCUAAUGUCUCCAACCUUUGGUCCAUUUCUUUAGUUUUUCCUCGUGUAUCGAUAUUCCAAGAUAACUGCCAAGAUUGUAGGGUCCUUUUGUGAGAUUUAAUGCAUAUGAUGCAAUGAAAGCAAAAGAAAGAGGCGUUGAUUCUGAUUCAAUUAUAUUAGAACAACUUUUCUAGAAAACAAAUAUUUUUACAUAAAACAUAUAUUUAUACGGCCUUGCCCUCAUACUACAGGCGAAGACAUCGAUUCUUUCUUCAUAUCCGGAUGUUAAGAUCAAAUCUCGCGAACUUUCAAAUGGAUGCCUCUAGUAGCUUCUUUUUACUCGAUCCAGGCUGUGACCCAUUGCUCACUUAUCCUUGUGAUACUCAUUAACUUCUUUAAAAAAGCUGGGAUGUUGACGACUCUCGAAUAAGCUUUGUCGGCUUGAAUCUUCGGGCAAAGGAGCAAGGUCGUGUACUCUUCUACGGUAGGUACCAAAUCCACUUUUCUGAAAGUAAAACAACUAUAAGUAGUGUUCUAAUACUGGGCGAGAGCUCGGUAUAGGUGCUCGUCCACUUUGAUAUAGAGUAGAUUAGAGGUGUUCAUGGGCCGGGCCGGGUUCGGGCUGGGCCCAUAAAAAAAUUUUGGCUUGAGUCCUAGGCCCAGGCCCGAAAUAUCGGCCUAAAAUUUUGUCCAGGCCCGGCCGGGGGAAAAAUUCCUAAGCCCGGGCCCGGCCUGGCCCAUUUUUUAAGUAAACACCAAAAAAAAAUUUAGAAAAUUAAAAAAAGUAUUUUAAAAAUAUUUUAAAAAUAAAAAAAAGUAUUUUAAAAUAUUUUUAAAAAUAAAAAAUAUAUAUUUAUUAUAUUCGGGCCUGGCUGGACCCGGCCAAAAAGGUGGUGCCCGAGGCCCGGCUCAUUUUCUAAAUGGGCCUCAUUUUUUUGCCCAAGCUCAUAUUUCGGGCCUAUAUUUUUACCCAAACCCUCCCAUAUUUGGGGCGGGCCGUCGGCCCGGCCCAUGAACACAUCUAGAGUAGAUAGGGCAAAUCACCAUAAUGACAGUAGAAUAGUUGCUUAGUCUCGUCAUCCCACUAAUCCCAUAUUUCUUUCAUCUCUUGAAGAUUAUUUUGGGUUACACUGAUACGAGUGAAAUCUCACAACUUCGACACGUAUCCCUCCAUAAGACUAUUACCUUUCUCUUGAUGCGUUGUCUCGGCCCAUAUCCGGACGGCCGCAUUAUCUUUCACUUUAUUAAGAAAUCUAUUUUCCAUGACAAGCUCUCUAUUUAGUAACUGAACGUGAAUCAACACCUCUUUUCUAUGAAAAUACAAUACAAUACAAUCAAAACCAAAACAAAAGAACACGUCAGUACAAAAAACCAUAAAUGACAAACACAACACCUAUUUGAAUGACCACUAGAGGUUUGGAGUGGUUCUACCUAGGGUGGGCUCUUAAGGCUUGCUAUAUGGGGUUCGGUUCUAAAGUAAAAGUACCUAAAUCGGUAGAUUCCUCGAUCUUCACCCAUUAUAGGCUCAUAUGGACUGAGUUCAGUUCAGGGGAAUACAUUUCCCUAUGGCUACACGGAGAUAAAAAUCUCACGAAGACAUAGGUACAGAUGUAUCUCGAAAGCGAUCCACUAUCCUACAAUGAGGUGAACACCUCACGAAGGAAUAGUUUCUCACUCCCACUUAAAAGGGUAAGAUCGAUUGAUCAUGCGAGGCAAUAUGUAGAAAGAUACCAAAACUUAAACCAAACAGCAAUUAUAAACCACAAUGAUGAAGAUCGUAACAAAGACGGAUGAAAUGCAACGGAAGGAUCGUACUUAUAAACCAAGUUUUCAAUUUUCGACAAAAAGUAAUCAACUCGUGGCUUGACUCUCUUAUUUUGGGUCCCCAGUGGAGUCGCCAAGCUGUCAAAACCAUUUUUUUGAAAUCGACUUUUAUUUAAAAAUGAAAAUGGAGUCGCCACCAAUCCUUUUUAUUUAGGUGUGAUCGGAUCACCUCAUAAUUUAAUCAUUUUAAUAAAAUUUUAAAUUUACUAAAAUGAUAAUUUUUUGUCUACAAAAUCCAGAAAACGGGUUCGGGAGUCAAUUAUGCACGAGGAAGGAUUAGCAUCCUCGAUACGCCCAAAAUUGGUACCUAGUUGAUUACUUAAUGUCUUGGUGUCGAAGAUUAAAAACUCGAAAAGAAUUUAAAAUAUGAUCCCUCUUUAUAUUGCGUUAUUUUAAAAUUACUCGAAUAAAUCAAAAUAUGUAAAAUGCCUCAUUAUCUUGAAGUAACAAGAUGUCACAUCCCGUAAGUUAGGACACGACACAUUGUAUUUUUUAGAAUAAGCUUGCCUUUUAUUUUUUAUUUGAACCUCAUUUAUUUUAAUUUUAAAAGGAUAUCUGGUUAUUUAGGUUCAACGCGAGAAAAAUCAAAACCCAGUAAGUUAGGGCACGACUUCUCGAAUUUCUAAAUACGGAAUAUUGUCUUUAUUUUCAAAAUUUUCUUUUUUACGAAUUUGGAUAAAAAUUAAUGUAAGACUGAUAUAUGAAUAAAAUGUUACGCUAAUGAAUGACAAUAAUAUAAAUGUACUAAUAAGCUAUUCAUAAUACAUAUCACUUUAAUACCAAUAUUAACAAUCAAAGAAAAAAAUAAAAUAAAUAAAUAAUAAAAACAAAUAAUGACGAUGAUAACAAAAAUAGUUCUAAUGACAAAAUAUGCGCAUGAAAUGACAAUACCAAUUUUUAAAUAUAAUGAAGACAAAGAAAUAAAUAAAUAAAUAAACAUAAAGGAAAAUAUUAUAUAUAAUAUGAAAUUAAAUAACUUAAUUAAAAUAUAAAUGAAAUUAUGGGUGCAAUUUGUAAUAAGAUACAUAAAUAAAUAGUAAUAAUAAUAAAUACAAUAAUAAAUAUGGUACAAGAAAAACAGAAAAUAAAAAAAUGUAUAAAUAUAAAUAAAUACAAAGAAAUGUAAAAGAUUGAAAGUAAGGGACUAAAUCAGAAUCUAAGCCAAAUUUAAAGUAAAAAUCAUAAUAAAAUAAAUAGAUUAAGUAAUAAAUAAUGUAAAGGGCUAAAAUCAAAUGUGUAGAAACAAGUGGGAACAAAGGACUAAAUCGAAGCACGAAAAAAAUUAGUGGCCCAAAUUUCAAAAAAAAUCCAAAAAGGUAACAAAUGACUAAAUUGAAGCGCAUCCCAAAAGCGGAAGGACCGAUUGCGCAAAUAACCCAUGCGCUAGAAAACACGCGGAUCCUGGGGGUCUUGGGUCGGAUCUCGGGUUAAGAGCCAAAACGGUGUCAUUUUGGGGCUAUUGAAGCCAACCCUAAACGGCAUUGUUUAAAGAGUCUAUAAAGACUACAAUUAAAAAAAAUCAUUUGCACCCUUUUCUUUUAAAAAAACUUUGAGAGCUCUCUCAUGCUCUCUCUCAACCCUCUGCCACCCCUCAGCCUUCUAGCUCCGGUCGUCGGACCACCAUGACGGCCGCCAGUUGCCGGCGACGGCGCCGCCGUACACGGUGGCCGACAACAUAAAAAAGAAAGACCUUUGAUCAUUUUACUGCCCUUUACCCCGAUCUAAGGCCAAAAAUCCAAAAAAAAAGGAGAACCCUUCGGAUCUGCCCUCCUCCGUUGUGAUUGUUUGGCUAACCCUGAGGGUUAGUCGGCCUUGCAAAAUGGAAAGCGAGAUGCCGGCAAAAAGGUAAAAGAUUUUGAUUUUAUUUUUACUUUAUAUCUUUUAAAGAAUAAAAUAUCACCCCUUUUUUUGAGUUUAAAUCUGAUUUCAAGUUUUGUAUUUGAUUGUCUGUUUAAAUUACAUUGAUAUGUUUGGCUUUUAUAGCCAUUUACAACAUUGUAUAUUAGGUCUAUUAUUUUGCUUUCAUUUCUGCCUACUCUAUCUUCUCUUUUUGUUCUGGUGCAAAGGCAGUAGCUAGGGUGUCAGGCCUCGGGACGGGGAGCCUCGAGACGAGCGUGCUGAAGUGGCUGAGGGCAGUGGCGCACAUGGGAGUUGGAAACCCUAGGGUUUCUGAAUUAGAUUCGAUUGUGGGCCUAUUAAUUGGGCUUAGGGUUUUUAUUUUGGGUUUGUAAUAUCUUGGACUUGGCCUCUUUUAUUAUUAUUUUGUUUUAUUUAUUUGGUUUUGGGCUCGGGCAAAUUGGGCCUACUACAGUAGCUAUGUAGCAAAAAAAUAGAAGACAUCAUAAUGAACCUAAAUUUAAAAUAGAAUUUUAAAUGUUAACAAUUAGACUUAUAUUUUAACCUUCACAAUUUAAUUCACUUGUUUUAGAAUAGAUAUACUCUAUCUCAAAUUUGAGCUAACAUUUAAUGCACAAACCAAUGACAAAGAAUCUGAUUGAUGCGAUACUAAAACCUUAAGGGCUUAAUUAGAACAUUUUAAAGUUAGGAAUCAAUUCAAAAUAUGCCAUAAUUUGAGGACAUUUGAUGAAUUAACCCUUUGAUAUAAUAAGGCAUCUCUUCCUAUUUGGGCUCAUUCAAGGUAUCACUUCUCUUGCCAAGACAAGGACAAGCUAAAGGGAAAAAAGACAUCACCAUGACUAAUUAAGCUUUUUGAAAAUUGCUUUUAUGCAUUCUUUACAAUAUCCAAUCUUGUUAACAGGAUUGCAAACAUCUAUAUUAUUGUUAAUGUUUUGAUUGAUUUCAUAUAUAUAUAUAUUUGGGCAAUUUUUAAAUUAUUGUGUGGAACUUGAAAUUUCCAUGUUUCUGCAUAACUUGUAAAAGAAGUAAACCAAUGAGAAACUCAGUCAUUCAAACCUAACCCAAAUUUUCUUGCACUAAGAAUGGUAAAACAUGGACCCAACAAAUUGGAAAAACAACAAACAAGAAGAGAGCUCAUUAACAUGGGGACCCCAUCAAGCACAUGACAACCAUUAGACUGAUUGGGGAAUAAAAAAUGCUAUAGCUAGUUUACAAAUUUGGAAUUCUAAAAUUUAGGUGGAAUUAUUAAUAUUAAUUUUUUUAUUAAAUUUUGUUAGUCUCACGUUUUAAAAUAAAAAAAAUAUUAGUUUGGCAUCAAUGUAAUUAAAAAUUAAUAUUAUAAUGAACUUGAAUUCAACAAAAUAAUUUUAACAGUAUUAAUAAUUAGACUUAAAUUUUAAAAUCUAAAAAGUUAUAUAUAUAUAUAUAUAUAUAUAUAUCUUUGCCAUCUUCCAAUGAGAAACUGAAUUAUGUGUGAAUAUAAUUUAGAUGGUCCCCCAACACUUGCCUUGCCAAGACCGGAACAGACACACCAGGCAAGAAAAAUGAUUUUACCCCAAAAAAAAAGAAAGAAAGAAAAAGAAAAAAAGAACUUAAUUAAUAUCCAUUGAAUUAGUUCUAAUGAAAGGACUACAAUGUCCCCACUAUAAAGAAAAUUAAAUAAGCAAUAGAUUAGUGUAAAUAAAAGAAUAAACUACAUUCCAAUAGAAUUAAGCUGUCUUAGCUCGAUUGGUAUGAAUAUUGUUGUCAAUGUAGGAGGAUGUGGAUUUGAAUAUAUUGAUGCGCAUUAUUCUCCUAUUUAUGGGUUGGAGAGAGACUAUGGGUAGUUCUAAAUAUUAUCUUAAAAAGAAUAGAUAUUAUCAGAAUCUAUAAUGAGAUUGUUUGGUUUUAAUGUUUAAUUUAGUAUUUGAGUUGUUUUUCUUUUUCAGAUUUGAUACUUGUGUUUGGCUUUAAUGUUCAGUUUAGUACCCAAAUCAAACGGCAUCAUGUGGCUCAAUGAAUAUUUAAUAUAUGUGCUAUAAAUCUAAUAAGAUAUUAUAGAAUAAAUUGUAGAUGAAGAAUAAAAGAAAUUGUAAAUGUUAAAAUUCAAAAUUAAAUGUACGAAAUUACACACUUUUUUUUAAUGAAAAAAGCAUCAACCAAGAAGGGUUCUUUUUCUCAGCUUUGUUUUGUAGUAAAUUACAUGAUUAAAUCAGCAAAUAUGGGUGAAAAAUGUGAUGAGAUCAUUCAAAACAUUAAAAUAAUGGCUUGAAUUUAGUAUACUUUUAAAAGAGAGUGACAUAACCAUAAUGCAAGUGUGAUGCAACUUUCUCAUCAUUAUAAUAUAUAUAUAUUUAGGUAUGUAAGAUUAAUCGUUAAAUUAUGAGUAAGUUUUUGUUUUGGUAUUUAACUAAAAGAAGUUAAAUUUAGUCACUGAACUAUUUAAAAGUUUUUAUUUAGGUCAUUGUGUGGUUAAGUUUUUUUUUUUAAAGUUCCGCCAGUGAGCUCCAAGCAACGAUUUGAUGAUUGGUACGGUAGAUCAGUACCCAUCGACAAGUUAUUUAGGUCAUUGUUUGAAUUUUAUUUACAAAUUCGUGAUGUCCAAAGUUAUUUCAUAAAAAAAAAUUGAAUUGUAAAAGAGGAGGAAAUAAAGCUUUUGAAUGGUGCAAGCAGUGCGAAGAGAGAAAGUCAUAUAACAUUGGUUUUAACAGUCUAAUAACUUAGAUGAAAACUUUUGAAUAGUUUAGCGACCAAAAUAAUAACUUAUCCAUAGUUUAGUGACUAAUGGUGUAGUUUACUCUUUUUUUACAACUACAAUCAGAAUAAAGAAUUUUACAGUUAUUGAAUUGAAUAAUUAAUUUAACAACAAAUUAACUAUAACCACAUAAAUUUGAAAAGAAAACUUACACAUUUGGGUAGGACUUGAACACCCAUCUCAAAUUUCUUAAAACCUCAACUUUAUCAUUUAGUCCAAAGUUGAUUUACUAUAUGGUCCGAAAAUUUUAUUUGAAUGGUUUUAAUUUAUUUAUUUUUCAAACUUUUUGACUCAGGAAACUUUGGCUGAAAAAGCUUUAAAGAAAAUUAUUUGGUACAUUGUUAGUAGAGUUUUAAACUUCACAAAUAGGAUUAGGGGUUGACAAGAAUUUUAUAGAAGUAUAAUAUAAUGUUAAAAAAUAAAUAUUAAAAAAAAGACAUAUAUCAAUUUUUUUAAAAAUUAAUUGUGAAAUAAAACAAAUUCAUUUUUACAUACCCUAAAAUUAUUACCUACAGAAAAGUAGGUCAAAAACAUCAAACAUAUCUUUUUGAAAAAGAAAUAAAAAAAAGUCAUUGUUGACAUUUAUAUGAAAUAUUUAAUCACUUUGUUUGAAUUAAUUAUUUAAUUUAAUAUUUAUAAUCAAUGGAUAUGACAAUAUAAUAGGGAUCUAUUAACACCACAUACGUCACAUAUUAAGUUCAAGGGGAGCUAUUCAAAUAAAUGCCUAUCACUUGCUUUUCGAAAGCUCAAACCCGGAUGAAUUCUAUUAACGAACAUCCCUUAAUCACCAAACCAAUCACGAGAGUUUAUAUAAUUUUAUUAAAUCUUAACUAAAAAUUAAAAGGAAUAUAUGCCUAUCUUUCAUAAGUUAUAUAACAAAAUUUCAAAUAAUUCAUAGACUAAUAGAAAUGAAAAUUGAUUGUUUGAACCGGACUAGUUGGGUCAAAUCGAGAAUCGAUCAAAGUAUCAAUUCAGAAAAAAAGUAAUGGAUUGGUUGACUUGAGAACCAAUACGGACUAAUUGUACCGAGCAAAAAAAAUGAUUGAAUCAGACAAUUGAUUUUUUUUUAAUUUUUUAAAUUUUUUAAUGAUUUAAACCUUUAUAAAGCGUAAAUAAUUUUGUGUUGCCUUAAAUUUUAAAGUUAAAUACUUAUUACUGGAUAUCGGAUUCAGGUUACAACUUACAAGCCCUUUUUCAGUUUUUCUUUACUCUUUGAUAAAAAAGAAGAAGAUAAAUCAACAUUUAGCUCUUGAACUUUAUAAGUUUCUCAAUUUGGUCCUAAAACCUUUUUUUUUCAUAAUAAUACUGAAACUUAACAAAUUUUUUUUUGAUAUUAAUCUAUGUGAAAAUGUGGCAUUAUACUAUUGUGUCUCGUUGUCCAAAAAUUAUAUUUUGAUCAAAAUAAAUAAUGACAUGGUGCUUUAAUAUUGUGCAAUGUCAUAAAAAAAAGAGUAAUUUCCGGUGAAUUUGGUUUGGGGCUUUAGGCCAAGAAGCACGAGUUGGCAUCCACCAAUUUCGCUCGUUAAAACUUGGGCCAUGGCGGAAUUGUAGUAUGGGUGGAGUAAUAAAUGUUUGGGUAAAUUACACUACAUGUUACCCAAUUAUGGCUCAGUUUUUUUUAGUCACCUAAUUAUGAUUUUUUUUAAAAUUGGUCACUUAAUUAGUUAGGUUUGUUUUUUGGUCAUUUUCCGUUAAGUGUAGUUAACAAUCCAACUAGACCUAAACGUGGGUCGAGUUGGGUCAAUACAAAAUUUUAGGCUUGCGCUUGUCCCAAAACUCGGGCCUAAAAUUUUAUCCAAGCCCAACAUGUAUACAUUAAAAAAAUUAUAUCAUUUUUAUAUAAAAAUAAAUUUAAAAAUAUAAGACAUCAAAUACUCCAAAAACAUUAAAAUAAAUAUUUCUCAACAAAUUGAAAAUACAUAAAAAAAUAUUUAUAAUUAAAUAACAUUAAGAUAGUUGCAGCUUAGCAAGCAAAUACCUCUAAAAUAGUAGUAAAAUUAAUAAUAAAACAAGAGUUAUACAAUAUUCAAAUAAAAACAACAAAAUAGUAACAAUAUAAUAGUAAACUAGUAGCAAAUAGCAACAAAAUAGUAGCAAACAAUAGCAAAAUAACACUGAAAAAAAUUAGGUAAAUUCGGGCCAAAAAAAUCUUACCUCGUUUUUUGUCCAAACCCAUUUUUUUGCUUAUAUUUUUGCCAAAACCCUCUCACUUUUCAGUUGAGUCUUUAGGUUUGAGUUAGUGGCUCAAUCCAUGAUAUGGUCUAAUUCUAAUAGAUGAUGUGGCAGCUUAAAAAUUGGUAUAAUAAUAAAUUUAGUACUCAAUUUUAUAUAUAAUGUCAAUUUAGCCAUUGUUUUCAAAGAUUAGCCCUCAACAUUGCGAAUUAUUUCAAUUUGGUUGAAAAUUAACCCUCAGCGUUGAAAGGAAGGGUAUAGCCCUGAUAUUUUUGGAGCUUUCCAAGCAGGGUUUUGAGGCUGCAAAGUAGCUGAGAGAGCUUGGAGAGAUUAGGGUCGUUGCUAAGAAUGGGAUUCACGUCCUUUCCAAGGUCUAGAAAAGGUUCAAGGGUGGAUUGGGGUUCAUGUGUUGAAAAAAUGGGGUUUUUCGGCAGAUUUUUUGAAGCUUUUGAAGGAACGUUAGCAGUGAAAAUAACUGUUGAUUGUCUUGGGAUGAUGUUUGAUCCAUCUUUAGGGGAUACUGCUUAGGUUCGAAGCUUACUGCAUGCGGCGUGAAGGGAGAAAGGAAACUGACAGAACCUCCCAACUACCGGUCCAAACAUGACCAAAGCUUUAAUUACAUUUUUUUUAUUUUUAAUUCUUCGUGUCUGUUUAUGAUUUAUGUUUGGGUUCAUAAUUGUCCCUCCCAAUAAUAUGGUGUUGUUUCAAGCCUCGUAAUUAUCACCAAACAGGGGGCCAAUCCUAAUAACUAUCAACAUAUGCGACAACCUUCUACUGUUUCUACACCCAUUCCAGUUUCCAUUCAAUUUCUUAUCUACCAACAAACGAAAGUACUUUCAAUCCAAUUUGUUGUUUGUGAAUUAAAUUUCUUUUAAAAAUUAACCCUCAAUAUUGCAAAUUAUUUCAAUUUGGUUAAAAAUUAACCCUCAACACUGAUUAGGCAUUUUGAAACUAUAGGUACUAUAUUAGAACAAACCUUAAAGUACAGGGGCUUUUCAUGCCAUUAUCCCUUUUUUAAAUUAGGACCAAAUUGAAAUAAUUUGCAAUACCAAGGGUUAUUUUUAAAAAAUUAUGAUUAAAUUGACACAAUAUAUAAAGGUUGAGGGCUAAAUUUGUUAUUUUUAAGCUGCCAACUCACCCUUCCAUUAAAUAGUUAAUGGCACUUAAUGGAAAAUAACCUAAAAAGCAAACCCAAUUAAUUGGGUGACCAAUUUAGAAAAAUUUAUAGUUGGGUGACCAAAAAGGAAAUUAGCUCAUAGCUAAGUGACCUAUGGUGUAGUUUACCCAUUAAUAUAUAAUUAAGUCUUAGAUCAAUUAACGAGUUAGUGUUAUAAUUUGAAAGAUGUAGAUUCAAAUACGCCCAAAUCUAUAAUACUUUUUAGUUUAAAGAUCAAAGAGUUAUGGAUAAUUUUAAUAUUGUAAAAAUGACAAGAUAAAAUAAAAAAUAUUUAGAUAAUUUUAACAUAUAUUUUUUUCAAAAAAACUAAUGCAACACGCACCACGAUGAAAUAAAAAUUGAUAUAAGUAGAUAGACAUGUUUAAGGUUUAAACUAUUUAUUCAAAUUUAAAUGUCAACUCGAAAUUUGAAAAGGUUUUACAAAAACCUCGUUUAAAAUAUGAAUGUGUUUGUUUCACUUUCUAAAAUUGAAAUAAGACAUAUUUUCAGGUGCGAAUCUAGCGGGGUUGGUAGGUGCCUGGCCCUUUAAGGUUUUUAAAAUUUUAAAUUAGUAAAAAUAAAGUUGUACUUUGGUCUUUGGCCCAAAAAUAAUAAAAUUUUGAUUUAAUCAUUUAAAAAUUACAUAUUUAUUAUCAUAAAAAUUACAAUUUAAUUUCGGCUCCUUAAAAAAAUUUACUGGCUUCGCGCCAGCAUGUUUUCAAGUUUAUAAUAUGUAAUUUAAUUUAUUUCAUAUAUUAUUAUAGAAAAAUAAUUAAAUAUAUAUUAAGUUAUUUAUGUUAAAUAUUAAAUAUAAUUAUUAUAUUAAAAAAAACAAAUAAUAUAUGCAUAGUCCCGAUCCAAACCGAUCCGGUGCCGGUCCAUCAAGUAAAGAAUCUAAAUACUUUCGCGCCUAAACCAACCAGAAAACAGCGCCAGAGAGAGGCAAAGCAGAAACGCCUGAAACCGCCGCUACAAACGCUGCUCAAGCCGCCGUCACCAUACCAGCACCAGCCAAACGUUAACGGAGCGUUUCCCGUUCUUUCUUCUCCUUAGAGAAGAGGAGCUAAUGGUAAUUUUAUUUUCUUUCAGCGCUUUCUUGUUGUCCACUUGUGUUGCUUGAUCUUCACAAUUUUUGAUGAAUUGUUUGUGAAGAUGCCUGAAAGAAUUUAGGGGCUUAUACUUUCCGGUAUUCAAACUUUAUCAUUUAAUAGAUAUAAAUGUAGACAUAAAAUAAUCAAAACCAAUUGGAUGGCUUGAAAUUACUAGACAUAUUUAUUUUGCUAUUGAGUCCUUUUUUGCUUGCAGGAAGUUAAUCAACAGGCUAGAUGUAGAGAGUUGGCUAAAUCGUCCUCAUUUUAUAGUACUGUUUACUCUGAGGUCAUUUAAUCUUUUUUUUUUUCCCUCUAUAUUUAUUCUAAUGUCAACCAUUUUAUGGGUUUUGUUUGGUUUCUCUUGAUGAGUUAUUUUUAUUUGUACAGAUAGAAGAGGUCGGAUGGGAUCAUUUGGUGAGGGCGGGAGGAGAUCUAAGUUUCCUUAUUUUUCGUGUUUUGUAAGUACCCUUUUGAUUGUAUUGACAAUCCAUCUAAUAUGGGAAAGCUUUGGUUUUCUUUUGGAGCAUUAGAUUUUGUAGUAAACAGCUAGUGCAACUUCCAGGGUUAGUCACAUAAUCAUGAUAAUCCUUUGGUUUUCUGCAAACGAAUGGAAUCUGUAUAUUUUCUUAGGAUGGUGAUGAUAAUCUGGGUUAUGUAGCUAACCUGCAAUAUCCAGCUUGGUGCUGUCUUUAAUUGUUCUCACUGUAUCCAUUACUAGCUCUUUUUGUACUCCAUUCUUAUCAAUGUUAUAAUCAUGUACUUUUAUAAAGAUAUGGUAUUGAUACAGAAUUGGCUAUAUCUGAAACUAAAGGCUUGAAUAUAUUUUCUGAAAAUUGAUAAACAGUUGAUAUUGGAGUUAUAAAAUCCUCAGUACACCAUAUAUUUCUAUAUACCUGUUAAGAUGUUUCUAUUGUCGAACUUUGGUAUUGGUACUGUAACCCUCUGUAGUUUUGUUCUCCUUUAAUAUUUCAUGUUAUCCUCUUUGUUCCUAGUUGCUUAUCCUGUUAUCCUUCUUGUAUAUUUCGGUGCUAGAGAUAAGAAGGGAAGAGUGCAUGUUAUGGAAAUUCAGUUGGAUAAAGCUUAUCCUAGAGUUCCUCCAAUGGUUUCAGCUGUUUGUCUCCUAUCUUUUUGGUCUUAAUUCUUCCAAUGUAGUCCUACAGGUGUUUUAUCUUACUCUGCUUUGUUCUCAGGAUGUUCCCUAUAUCUUCAAUUUAAAAUGGUCAAUGAACUCGAGACUGAAAAACUUGGUACAACAGUUUGAGAAGGUAUUUGCUUCGACAUUUUUGAACCCAAUGUAGUUCCAUUCUGCUUCAGAACAUAUUUUUGGUGCCAUGGCAUGUUUAACUAUUGUCAGAACUUUGGUGUUUUCUCUUUGUAUCCAGCAUCUGGAGAAGCUUCAAGGAUUCUGGUCUACCUUGGACGAAAUUGACAGGUCUCUUCAGAUUGUUGAUUCAAAGCAAGCAUCUCGUGCCAUUCCGAGUCGCCAAAUCCACGUAGGUGAGUCAUUACUUCAUUCCGUCUUCUUUUAUGUACAUUAAAAUUUUCUUGCCCCCUCCUUUAUUACUGAACACAAGGUUUAACUAUUUGGUACUCAGGAAAUGAUUGCUUCAUCAUAUUGUUCAUCGAUAUCAAUGAUCCUAGAUCAUUACCAGAGUAAGAAUUCAUAUAAAAUUAUAUUAAAAGCUGCUAGCAAGUUGGUUUUGUUCAGCAUGAAUAACGAAUAUUUAAGUGUUUGUAGGUGUCGUUUUAUGGGUUUAGGUAAUACUGUGAACUCCUUGAGAAAGACAUGGAAAAGAAAUGUUGAUAAAUGGUAUGCCCUUGAGUCUCAUCUUAAAUUUUUAACUUUUGCACUAGUGAAGUGAACGUGUGGUUAACAGUGGAGGAAGAAAAUUACCGAGUUGCGUAAUUUUCUGCAUGCAAUCUGUUAAUUCCUUCUCUAGUAACAGAGAAUGCCAGAAAUUGGAGCCUUGAAGCCUUCCAUCUAAUUUAAGAGGAUAGAAGCUUAUAACAUCGUGUUGUAUAAGGGAUAGGUUUCAUUCCAUUGUACUAACUUUACAUAGUCUGAUUAAUUGUUUAGGGAGAGGGACAAAGCCUUUUUAGAAAAUCUUGAGUGUCUUUUGAACACCCAAUUGCCAAGGCUUGCUGAUGAAGAGACCAACAAUCAUCUAGAUGAAUGUGGAAUCUGUUAUGCUCAAUAUCUCCCCAUUGGUAAUGCUUCACAUGCUUUAGAUGUCUCUGAACUAUUGUUUUGAGACUUAAUUCUCAAAUGUUCCUGUAGGUGAUGAGCUUGGACCUCAGACUGGAAGUGCAACUGAUUACACUUGUGAGAAUAACAGUUGUAGUAAGGCUUUCCACAGCAUGUGCCUAGUCGACUGGUUGAGGUCGAUCACGACAACAAGGCAGUAAGUGGAGCUCUUAGUGUACUUGUAUCUUUUAAACUACUUCGUAUCGGAGUAUAAUUUUAUUCCUGUCCACUAUGUGCUGUGAUCAAUUCAAAAUUAAUUGCUUGCGGAAUUUCCCGCUUUUGGCAUUGGGCUACCUGUCUACCUGAAUGAUCAAACCUGCAAACAAGUUGGGUCACGUGAUACUCGUCUAUGUCUCCUCCUUUAUAUCUUAUUGAUACACCUAGUAGCCUUUAGUAGAGGUAGAAUCGACCGUUACUGGCCUCAUAUUUUUCAGUUGCGACUAGGUAUGGUAACACUAUUUCUGGAGUCUGAUCAAGAGGGACCUACAUGAAAGUUGAAGGGGCUAUGUUUUUUCCAAGCUUUUAAAGGCACUAGUACAUUAUCCAAAACGUGGUCCAAUAAAUUGUCGGAGCUACUUUUGUCCGUUAGAUUAAAUGGGGUGUUAAGGUUUGCUAAGAUAGUGAUAUAGUGCCUUUUUCUCUUUUGUGUUUGUCGUUUGGCAAAUGACCCUUCAAGUUACAUGAUUCAUGGUACAGACUUUUCAUUCAUAGUAAACCGGGUUGCCUUUGAAUAUGCCUUAUUGCUUGUACAUACCCCACAUUCAAAUUAGCUUUGAUUAUUUGCAAUUAGUUUAUGAAACGAUAUUAGCACAAACCUAUCUUCAAUUUCGACCGUGGCAACUUGGUUGCUUGAUUUAUGGUUGUGAAUGCUUGUGUUGCAGGUCAUUCAAUGUUCUGUUUGGAAAUUGUCCUUAUUGCUCAGAGCCAAUUGCAGUGAAAAUCAAUGCCACAAAGAAUUAAAGAUCUUAUAAGUCAUAAUCUAUGAUCCUAAGCUGAUUCAUCCUGUCCCGGAGAACCCUUUCACGAGCAGAAGAGGCGUGUGAAUUUCCAUUACUGCCAAAGCAGCAAAACUCUGAAGAUUAAAGCUUCUCUUGUCCAUGCAGGUACCUAAAACCAAUUCCGUUUUGCUGAAAUAAGAAGCAUUCAAUGUAGGUUUGUGCUUACUAGCACUAUACUAUUACCUUAUGACCAACAAGGAUCUGUGGCAUUCCCUUCUUUAUGUAUUGUCCUGACUUAUCUAAGGCAUUAUUUACUUUGAUCAAAAGUGUUUCACUUGAUUGGUAGUCUUUCCUUGAAUAUUAGAUUCUUUGUCCCAACACAUUCAUUUCUUUGCCACUGGAAUGUCAUAUUCCAACAAUAUGUUACCUCUAUUAAAUGACUGCUUUUAGCUGGAAUUCAAGCAUGUUUUGUUUCACUCAUUAUUCCAACAUAUUGGAUGCAAUGACAGAACACUCGGUUCAAAUUACUAAAUAAUUCACACUUGGGACUUCUUGCAUGGGAAUUUAUUCAUGUUUAAAUAUGGACUAAUGAGAAUGGAGUUGUGGAAGAUAUUGUAGCUUUGCUGCUGCUUCAAAGGAUGGCCCUUCCUCUCUUAGCUUUAAUGGUGUUUGCCUCCAGAAGGCAAUCAAUUGGGGGCCAUAUGAGAAUUUAUGCCUAGUGGGGCCCUAAACUGUAAAAAUCCUAGUAAAUAACCCUAGACUGCCAAGUUGUUUAUUUCCUUGAGGAUGUGAGCUGUUAUCAUGAAUUAUAAUUUAUAACCCCUUUGUUGUGCUCAAUGACCAAAAAGGUGGGUAUCUAAAAUUCUUUUCUCUAUCCCCAUUAUUUUAUUCUUUACUAAAUAUUAAGUGACCCAAAUCUUUAUUUAAAUAAAAUACAUUUGUAAAAUAAAAUAAAAGUAAAAUCCAUAUAGAAUUACACUUAUUUUAUUUUAUUUUAGAAUAAGGUUUUUUAAACGUUAUUAAGCUUCAUCUAUUUGAUAUUGAUUAGAAUAAGAUGUUUCAAUCUUACUACACUCUUAUUAGAAUAUGAUUUUAUAAGCCUAUAAAUAGACAUAGUCUACUCCUCUUGUAAUCAUUCGAAUUUGGCAUAGUGAAUUAUCUUCUCCUUUUCUCGUGGUUUUUUUCUCGAAAGGGUUUCCACGUAAAACUUAUGUGUUCUUUAUUUUUCUCUCUUUUUCAUUGCGAUACAUUGUCAUUACCGACGUUCUAUUUUUAACAAAUUGGUAUCCGAGCUUCCGGGUUGUUCAUCUCAAUCACGGUAAUAGCGUCUUUGAAGAAUGAAAUUUGCUGUUGGAUCGCAACAACAGAUUUGCGUUGUGGCAGAUAAAGAUGCAGGCAGUUCUUGCAUAGAUGAACUCAGACGAAGCCCUGCUAGGGGUAGAUAAGAUGCCUUCAACAUUGACGGAGGAAGAGAAGAAGCGCAAGGAUCGAAAGGCGUUAACACAGUUACAUCUGCAUUUGUCUAACAAAAUUUUACAGGAUGUGAUAAAUGAGAAGACCGCCGCUGGAUUAUGGAAGAGGUUGGAACAAAUAUGUAUGUCGAAAACUCUAACUAGCAAGCUGCAUAUGAAGCAACGUCUUUAUGCUAAUCGUUUUGAGGAAGGCGUGCCUGUGCACAAACAAAGAAAUUCUCUCAAAGUUGGAGGCCAUGAAGGUUCAGUAUAAUAAGGAAGAUCUAGUGUUGGUUCUACUUUGUUCGUUGCCUCCAUCUUAUUCAACCUUUAGAGAUACGAUUUUAUAUAGUCGCGAGUCUCUCAGAAUUGAUGAGAUUUAUAAUUCUUUAACCUCGUAUGAUAAGAUGAAGUAUCUUGUGGUUAAAAUCGACUCUUAGGGAGAGAGUCUCAUUGUUCGUGGGAGACAAGAUCAGAAUGCUAAUUAUGAUCGUGGAAGGACACAGGAACGGUAAUGACCCAAACUUCACAAGCACCAAAAAAAUGAGUUAUAGGGCCUUCGUCUUAAUAAACUGAGUUCGUAAACAAUUAUUCGGAGUAAUCAUGAGUCUAGUUGAGUAUUUAAUUAGGCUCAAAUUGGGUGAAUUUAGCUUAGUUAAUAGAUAUUAGGAAAAAGGACUGAAUUGAAUAAGGUGUGAAAGUCUAAUUAUAGAUUAAAAGAAGAUAAGGGGGACUAAAUAGGAAUUAAGCCUAUUUUGAUGAAUGAGACGACAAAGCAUAAAAAUACAAGUGUAUUAAUUCAAAUGAGUACAUUUGUAUUAUAUAUAUAAUUAGUAAAAAUAUAUUUUAUUAUUUAUUAUUAAUUAGUAAAAGAUUUUUAUAUGAUAAAUAAAUUGAAAUUAUGACAAGUGGAUGGUGAUGAUAAAAUACAAAUGUAAAAUAUAUAUGUGAACAUUUGUAAUAUUUAUAUUUGUUAUUAAAUAGAUAUUAUUAUUAUAAUAAUUAUUGUUAUUAUUUAAUUGAUAUUAUAUUAUUAGAUUAAUGAACAAAUUAAUAAAUUGACAAAUGUAUGGUGAUGGUAAAGUACAAGUGUAAUAAAUCAUAUACAUACAAUUGUUAAAUACAUAUUUAUUUACUUAAUAUUUAAGAAAUAAUAAUUAUUAAACUAAAGUAAAAUAAAAGCAUAAAAAGAAACAAAAAAGAAAUAGAAAGAAACAAAAUAGAAACGAAUAGGGAGAAAAAAGAAAGAAAAGAAAAAGGGAAAGAAAGAAAGGAGAAAUAGGGUUUUUUAAAGGUUGAGGUUUAAUUUGGUAAGUUAAUUUAGUCCAUUUUCUUGUAAUUUUGAUGUUUUUGGAGUCUUAGAGUUGAAUAUUAUUGAAUUUAAGUUGAAAAUUUGAAAAUUAGUAGAUUUUUUAGUUGGGUUUAUGUUGAAUAAAUGAUUGAAUUAGGGGUUUAUUUGAUGAAAUUAUUGAUUAGAAUUGAUUUAAGGAUUAAAUUGUAAACUAGGCUAUAAGUUUUGUGUUGUAGGGACUAAAUUGAAAGAAAUUCGAAAUUAUGAUAAAAAUUUGAUAGUUAAAUUUAAGUUUAUAUGGAAUUUGGAUAGGAAUAAAAUAUAAAUUGUAAUGGGAAAAUAGAUGAAUUUAGUUAGGACUAAAAUUGGAAUUUAAGUGAAAGUUAAAUAGAAAUUUAGUAUUUAAUGUAAAUUAGUAAUAUAUUAAUGAUUAUAAAUUAUUUUAAUUUCCGUAGCUAACAAAGAACCUGAGACAUCAACACCGAAAGGAAAGGAAAGGAAAGGAAAAAGUUAUCGAGGAGUAAUCGUGAAAUUCGGGUUUGUAUUACUAUAAUUCAAGUUAUUCAUUAUUAAAUAUUAAUAUUAAUUUAUUUAAUUUAUGGUAAGUAAAUAUUGAGGUAAGUAACUUUAUUGAAUUGAAAUUAGAAUUGAAUUGAAUAAGAAAUAUGUGUUAGUAUUGAAUUGAAUUUUGAUUAGUGAAUGAAAAAGUGAAUUUGACAUUGAAAGUAAAUUUUGAAAUGAAAGUGAACUUGAAUUGAGAAUUGGAAACCCUAUUAACUAGUCGGGCCGAGUCGGAUAUAAUUAACAUGCUAUAGGAUUGGAAGAGUUCAGGGAUACUUCGACCUCGAGUCGAUGAGACACUGGGUGUCACUAUUUUACAUGAUAUAUUUAUUUAGUAAAUUACUAAGUUGAUGUUUAAGAUAUGUUUAAGUGUAUUUGAAAAUGAAAUUGUAUGGAUUGUGAUAUUGGUUUUGAAUUGGUUGCGGUUUGAAAUUGCAUGGAAGGUUAAAUAUUUAUAAAGGGGUUAUAUUGAGUUUUUUUUUUAGAAAAAAAAAUGAAGUCAAUUAGUAAUAAAAAAUAUUUAUAUGAAAUUAUUAUAUUAUAAUAUGUUUGUUAUUUGUUUAAGAAUUAUUUGUAGAUUGUCUGAUAUGUCCGGUAAUGCCUCGUAACCCUAUUCUAGCGACGGUUUAGGGUUAGGGGGUGUUAUAAGAACAGAAUCCUCGCUGUAAAUCUAAAGGUAGAUCGAAGUCUUCAAACAAAAGUAAAACUUGUAACUUUUGCAAGAAGAAAGGACACAUUAAAUCUGAGUGCUAUAAGCUAUAGAAUAAGAUCAAAAGGGAGGCUGCGAAUGAAAAUGGAAAACAACCAGAAAAUUUCGAUAAAGCUGAUGUUGUAGAAGACUACAGCGAUGGUGAACUUCUAGUCGCUUUUGUCAACAAUUCUAAAGUGAGCGAAGAGUGAAUCAUUGAUUCGGGUUGCACCUUCCACAUGAGUCUCAAUCGGGAUUGGUUUACAACUUAUGAAACAGUGUCUAAAGGUGUUGUUUUGAUGGGAAAUAAUGCUUUAUGUAGAAUCGUAAGUGUUGGAACAAUUAAAGUUAAGAUGUUUGAUGGAGUUGUCAGAACACUCAGUGACGUACGAAAUGUUCCAGAAUUAAAGAGAAAUUUAAUUUUGUUGAGUACUCUUGAUUCAAAAUGGUACAAAUACACAGUUGAAAGUGGGGUUUUAAAUAUUUCCAAAUGUUCUCUCAUUGUGAUGAAAGGGUAGAGAAAGACUGUCAAGUUAUAUGUUUUGGAAGGUUCUAUUGUUACUGGUGAUGUAGCUUUCGCAUCCUCGUCCUUAUUAAAUGAUGAUGAUAUUACUAAAUUUUGGCAUAUGCGCCUAAGGCAUAUGAGUGAGAAUGGCAUGACAGAAUUGAGCAAAAGAGGACUUCUUGAUGGGUAAGGAAUUUGCAAACUGAAGUUCUGUGAGCACUGCGUUUUUUGGAAGCAAAAGAGAAUUCGAUUCACCAAAGGAAUCCAUAACACGAAGGGAACGUUGGAGUAUAUUCAUUAUUAUCUGUGAGGGCCAUCCAGAGUGCCUUCGAGAGGUGAAGCUAAUUAUAUGCUAACUUUUAUUGAUGAUUUUUCCAAAAAAAUUAGGCGUUCUUCUUGAAGCAGAAAAACGAUGUACUUUCCGCAUUUAAGUCUUGGAAAAUUAUGAUUGAAAAACAGAAGGGAAAACAAAUAAAAUACUUCUGUACUGACAAUGGCUUAGAGUUCUGUUCUGAAGAGUUUAAUAAAUUGUGCAAGUCAGAAGGGAUCGUGAGACACUUGAUAGUUUGUUAUACUCCAUAGCAAAACGGCAUUGUAGAACGAAUGAACAGAACGAUCAUGGAGAAGGUUCGAUGUAUGUUGUCAAAUGCCAACUUACCAAAGUCAUUUUAGGUCAAAACAACCUCUACUGCAUGUUUUUUGAUUAAUCAAUUUCCAUCCAUUGCCAUUGAGAAAAAGACUCCACAAGAGGUAUGGUUUGGUAAUUCUACUGACUAUUCUGAUUUAAAGAUCUUUAGGUGUCCUGCGUAUACUUAUGUUGAUAAUGGAAAAUUGGAACCGAGAUCCAUUAAAUGUGUUUUUCUUUGUUAUAAAGCUUGUGUAAAAGGGUAUAAGUUAUGGUGUCCUGAAAAUAGAAAAGUUGUGAUUAUUAGAGAUGUUUUUUAUGAAACUGCUAUGCUACCUAACUUAUCUCUUAAAAACUCUUCCAAUAAAGAAAAUCAAAAGCAGGUGGAGCAUCAGAUUAAUCCAAAAUCUACAAUAGAGUCGACUCCUCAAGCCAGUACAAAAAUUUAAAAUAGAGUUUAUUCUUCACCAUAAUACUCUAUCACCAAAAAUAGAACUAGAAGAGAAAUUAAACCUCCAAAGAAGUAUAUUGAGGUUGAUCUAGUUGCUUGUGCUUUAAAUGUGGCUGAAGAUAUAGAUGCAAACUAAGAGCCAUCUAAUUAUUCUGAUGCGGUUAGCUGUGAAGACUCAGAAAAAUGGAUGUUUGCUAUGCAAGAGGAAAUUGAAUCACUCUACAAAAACAAAACAUGAGAUCUUGUGAAACUUCCUAAAGGUAAAAAAUUUGUUCGUUGUAAAUGAGUGUUUAAAAAGAAAGAAGGGACUCUGGGAGUUGAAGAACCCAGAUAUAAAGCAAGGCUUAUUGCAAAGGGUUACAGUCAAAUUCCAGGAGUGGAUUUCACCAAUGUGUUCUCCUCAGUUGUGAAGCAUAGUUUGAUUCGAGCUUUGCUUGGAAUUGUGGUCAUACAUAAUUUGGAGCUUGAGUAGUUAGAUGUAAAAACUACAUUUUUGCAUGGAGAACUUGAGGAUGAUAUUUACAUGCAACAACUAGAGGGUUUUACAGUCUCAGAAAAAGAGGACUGUGUUUGCUUGCUAAAAAGUCUCUUUACGGUUUGAAAUAGUAACCAAGACAGUGGUACAAGAGGUUUGAAUCCUUUAUAACUUCUCAUGAUUUCAAAAGAAGUAGCUUUGACAGUUGUGUUUACUUUAAGAAAAACAGUAAUGGUUCUUUUGUGUAUCUACUCCUUUAUGUUGAUGAUAUGUUGAUAGCAGCGAAAGAUAAAGAAGAGAUAAGAAAGGUCAAAACCCAACUAAGUGAAGAAUUUGAGAUGAAAGAUUUGGGACCAGCAAAGAAGAUACUUGGUAUGGAGAUUCUCAGAGAUAGAAAAACAAGUAAAUUGUACCUAAGUCAGAAGGGGUACAUUGAGAAAGUUCUUUGCAGAUUCGAUAUGCAGAAUGCUAAGCCUGUUAAUACUCAUUUAGCAGCCCAUUUCAGACUUUCAUCGGCUUUGUCUCCAUAAUCAGAUAAUGAGAUUGAGUACAUGUCACAUGUUCCAUACUCUAGUGCAGUGGGAUCUCUCAUGUAUGCUAUGGUUUGUUCACGUCUAGAUUUAUCAUAUGCAGUCAGUGCAGUUAGCAGAUACAUGGCGAAUCCUGGUAAAAUACAUUGGAAAACAGUUCAGUGGAUUUUAAGAUACUUACGAGGUACUACUGAUGUUUGCUUACAGUUUGGAAGAACUAGAGAUGGAGUCAUUGGGUAUGUUGAUAUUGAUUUUGCUGAAGACCUUGAUAGAAGAAGAUUUCUCACAGAUUAUGUCUUUACAAUUGGAGGUUGUGCAAUCAGUUGGAAAGCUACUUUGCAAACUACAGUUGCUUUGUCUACCACUAAAGCUGAGUACAUGGCGAUUACUGAUGCUUGUAAAAAAGUCACUUGGUUGAAGGGACUCUUUAGUGAACUCAAUGAAGACCUUCAAAUCAGUACAGUAUUUUGUGACAGUCAGAGUGUCAUCUUCCUUACAAAAGAUCAAACGUUUCAUAAGAGAACAAAACACGUUGAUGUUCGGUAUCAUUUUGUUCGUGAUAUUAUUGCCCGUGGUGAUAUUGUUGUGAGCAAAAUUAGUACUCAUAAAAAUCUUAUAGAUAUGAUGACUAAGUCACUUCCUAUAACCAAGUUUGAGCAUUGCUUAGACUUGGUUGGUGUUCAUUGUUGAAGUUAAACCCUUAAGAAGGGGUUUUAUGGAAGAGGUGGAGAACUUGUUCGUUGAGAGUUCGCAAUGAAGAACUUGUUCAUUGAGAAUUCGUGUCAAGGUGGAGAUUGUUAGAAUUAAGUGACCCGAAUUCUUAUUUAAAUAAAAUGCAUUGGUAAAAUAAAAUAAAAUAAAAGUAAAAUCCAUAUAGAACUACACUUCUUUUAUUUUAUUUUAGAAUAAGGUUUUUUAAACAUUAUUAAGCUCCAUCUAUUUGAUAUUGAUUAGAAUAAGGUGUUUCAAUCUUACUACACUCCUAUUAGAAUAUGGUUUUACGAGCCUAUAAAUAGACAUAGUCUACUCCUCUUAUAAUCAUUCGAAUUUGACAUAGUGAAUUAUCUUCUCCUCUGCCCGUGAUUUUUUUCUCGAAAGAGUUUUCACGUAAAAUUUGUGUGUUAUUUAUUUUUCUCUCUCUUUUUCUUUGCGAUACAUUGUCAUUAUCGACGUUCUACUUUUUAACAUUAUCAAAUUAAACAACCAAAAGAUUUAGCGAAUCGCACUUGAAAAUUUUCAUCCUUUAUCCAUGAGCCAGUAAUGGUAAAAUUUUGAUAAUUUCAACUAAAAUUUCAUUCAGUUUUAAAAUAAAUUUUUAUAUAAUUUUUUAACCGUAUUGUGUACCAUAAUGUAAUACAUAUUUGGUUCACUUAACUCAUAAUACAAACUUCAAUUAAAAAAUAAAUAACAAUUUUAUCUAUUUUACAAAGUAAUAUAUAUUAUUACGAGAUUAUUUUUAUUUCUUCUUAUAAAAUCUAGAAAAAUCAAUCUAAAUCCAAAAUAUAAUCUAGAAAAAAAAAUUGAACCUAAAACACUAGAGUCUUCAAAGCUUUAAUUUUAUUUAUUUUUUAUAAAUAUAACUUUUUACAUAAUUAAGCUUGUUAUAAUAUGGUAUAUCCUAAAAUUCAUAAAGCUGAGCAUAAAAGAAAUAAUUAUAAAUGUAGAAUUCAAAUAAACAUUUAUUAAAUAUCAGUACCUUUUAAAAGUGAUUGUAUAAAUAAUCGAAAGAGAAUUAUUUCGAAGUACAAAACUCUUGUUUCGCAAAGAAAACAAAUUAAGUGUGGAUUUGGAUGGUGAUGCAGUGCGUUUAGCUUACUUUUUGUUUCACGCUAUAGUAUCCUAAUUGAUUUCGAACAAAAAAAAAUAUGGUAUUAGAAGUGAAGGAAGCAAGAAGUAUCCCUUCACACUGGGACCAUUAUGAGCUUUUUAUGCACUUCGGGGACGACCAAAUGAGCCAAAUUCUAGCCAAACAUUUAAAGUGAAUAACAGGAAAAACCAAAACAAAAGGGGACCAUUCUGAAAAUCAAUUGAAAGCCAAUUACUUCAAACACUAAUUUUGAAUUUCUAGCAUUCACUCAUUUCCUUGUUUUCAUCAACCCGUAAAAUGAAGCAGCAAGUAGUUUUUGUCUUAGGCCUGCAAACUCUGAAUUGGAUAAUACAAUAAUAAUAAUAAUAAAAUACACGUUUUAAAAUUAAAUAUUUGCACACACGAUCACAAUUUAUUUCCCUUCAUAACCCCAAUUUUUGCAUGGCCCUCUUAUAGCAUAUACAUAUAGCUACUAUGGUACAAAGGGAGGCAUAUACAUCAAAGUAUAUAUGACACAUGAAACAUAUUGGUAUAUCAAAUAUUCUGGACAGUUCAGUUGGAUAUGGAACAAUGGGAACUCUUGAUAGUACUUCAUAUACCUGCCAUGCAUUCCGGUGGGGUGACCGGGUACCGAGACUUGUCGGUGCAGUAAUCGUAGAUCAUGUGGUUCAUCCGAACCCACCUGUAUCUCCUAGCUUCCAUGGCAUUAAGAGCUUGAUAAGCAGUACCUUCCCACCAGUUCCUAGGGUUACUAGCACAAUUUGCUGGCCCUGGAACUGGACACCCUUCAAUGUCAAAAUCCUUGUAAUAAGCCAAAAAUGGUGCUUUGCUCCAAUCAAUUUUCUCAAGUCCUCCCCUUGUUGCCCAAUCAUCAGCUUCCCAUAGUGUUGAAUAUACCCCCAUAGGUUGAAAUUUUGGGUAUGGGAUGUUUUUUGCUUCAUUGUUCUUGUAUACUCUUAUU